rnacentral:misc_RNA from 1 species
GUGAAUCAUCAAAUUUUUGAACGCAAAUUGCGCUUUCUGGCAUCCCGGGAAGUAUGCCUGUUUGAGGGUCAGUAUUAACAAAAUAUUGGUUUGUCUGCAAAUUGUGACGUUUCCGGUGUUUGGUCUAUCUUACCUUUUUUGGUUAAGGGGCUUUAAAUUGACCUUAUUUGCGCAUUUUUAGUCGUACAUAUAUUUUUUUUUUAUUCGUCUAUUCUUCAUGCUAAAAUCUUAUUAGUUGCGAUCACAUCGUG